UACAGAGGGGGCAAGCGUUGUUCGGAAUUACUGGGCGUAAAGGGCGCGUAGGCGGCCUUCUAAGUCGAACGUGAAAUCCCUGGGCUCAACCCAGGAACUGCGUCCGAUACUGGAAGGCUUGAAUCCGGGAGAGGGAUGCGGAAUUCCAGGUGUAGCGGUGAAAUGCGUAGAUAUCUGGAGGAACACCGGUGGCGAAGGCGGCAUCCUGGACCGGUAUUGACGCUGAGCGCGAAAGCCAGGGGGAGCAAACGGG
rnacentral:rRNA from 1 species